rnacentral:rRNA from 1 species
CAGCCGUAAACUAUGCUCGCUAGGUGUCAGGCAUGGCGCGACCGUGUCUGGUGCCGCAGGGAAGCCGUGAAGCGAGCCACCUGGGAAGUACGGCCGCAAGGCUGAAACUUAAAGGAAUUGGCGGGGGAGCACAACAACGGGUGGAGCCUGCGGUUUAAUUGGACUCAACGCCGGGAAGCUCACCGGAUAAGACAGCGGAAUGAUUGCCGGGCUGAAGACUCUGCAUGACUAGCUGAGAGGUGGUGCAUGG